rnacentral:rRNA from 1 species
CAGGGAAUCUUGCGCAAUGGGCGAAAGCCUGACGCAGCAACGCCGCGUGGGUGAUGAAGGCUUUCGGGUCGUAAAGCCCUUUUCUGCGGGACGAUGAUGACGGUACCGCAGGAAGAAGCCACGGCUAACUACGUGCCAGCAGCCGCGGUAAUACGUAGGUGGCAAGCGUUGUCCGGAAUUAUUGGGCGUAAAGCGCGCGCAGGCGGUUCGGGAAGUCCAUGGUGAAAGCGCCCGGCUCAACUGGGCGAGUGCCGUGGGGACUAUCGGACUGGAGGGGAGCAGAGGCGAGUGGAAUUCCGGGUGUAGUGGUGAAAUGCGUAGAGAUCCGGAGGAACACCAGUGGCGAAGGCGGCUCGCUGGGCUCAACCUGACGCUGAGGCGCGAAAGCGUGGGGAGCGAACCGGAUUAGAUACCCGGGUAGUCCACGCUGUAAACGAUGGACACUAGGUGUGGGGGGUAUCGACCCCCUCUGUGCCGAAGCUAACGCGAUAAGUGUCCCGCCUGGGGAGUACGGCCGCAAGGCUA